CCUACGGGUGACAGCAGUGGGGAAUAUUGGGCAAUGGAGGCAACUCUGACCCAGCAACGCCGCGUGAAUGAUGAAGGUCUUCGGAUUGUAAAGUUCUGUGAUGGGGGAUGAACACAAUGACGGUACCUCAAUAGCAAGCCACGGCUAACUACGUGCCAGCAGCCGCGGUAAUACGUAGGAGGCAAGCGUUAUCCGGAAUGACUGGGCGUAAGGGGUGCGUAGGUGGUUUAGUAAGUUGGCGGUGUAAUUCCGGGGCUCAACCUCGGCGCUACCGCCAAAACUAUUAGACUAGAGUGCAGGAGGGGUAAGUGGAAUUCCUAGUGUAGCGGUGGAAUGCGUAGAUAUUAGGAGGAACAUCAGGGGCGAAGGCGACUUACUGGACUGUAACUGACACUGAGGAACGAAAGCGUGGGGAGCAAACAGGAUUAGAUACCCGUGUAGUC
rnacentral:rRNA from 1 species